rnacentral:rRNA from 1 species
CCCUAUGCUGGGGAAUAACCUCGGGAAACUGAGAAUAAUGCCCCAUAGCCCACUACGCCUGGAACGGUGAGUGGGUCAAAGCUCCAGCGGCAUAGGAUGGGCCUGCGCCGUAUCAGGUUGUAGGGGGUGUAAAGUACCCUCUAGCCAUCAACGCGUACGGGUGUUGGGAGACAUUGCCCGGAGAUGGAUUCUGAGACACGAAUCCAGACCCUACGGGGUGCAGCAGGCGCGAAAACUUGGCAAUGCGAGCAAUCGUGACCAGGGAACUCCAAGUGCGUAGGGUAAGACCUACGCUUUUCUUGACUCUUCAAAGGUCUUGGAAUAAGGGGUGGGUAAGGACGGUGCCAGCCGCCGCGGUAAUACCGGCGCCUCAAGUGGUAGUCGCUUUUAUUGGGCCUAAAACGUCCGUAGCCGGUCUGGUACAUUCGUGGGUAAAUCAACCCGCUCAACGGGUUGAAUUCUGCGAGCACGGCCAGACUUGGGACCGGGAGAGGUGUGGGGUACUCUCAGGGUAGGGGUAAAAUCCUGUCAUCCUGAGAGGACCACCUGUUGCGAAGGCGCCACACUAGAACGGAUCCGACGGUCAGGGACGAAACCUAGGGGCACGAACCGGAUUAGAUACCCGGGUAGUCCUAGGUGUAAACGCUGUGGACUUGAUGUUGGGGGCGCUCCGAGCGCUUUCAGUGUC